AGUCCCAUGGCCCAGCUGGUACAGCACUGUGCUAACAACACAAAGGUUAAGGGUUCGAUCUCAGGGGACUA
rnacentral:tRNA from 1 species